rnacentral:rRNA from 1 species
UGGGGGAUAUUGCACAAUGGGCGAAAGCCUGAUGCAGCGACGCCGCGUGGGGGAUGAAGGCCUUCGGGUUGUAAACUUCUUUUGCUCUGAACAAGGCAUGCCUUUGGGGUGUGUUGAGUGUAUGGGUUGAUUAGCGCCGGCUAACUACGUGCCAGCAGCCGCGGUAAUACGUAGGGCGCGAGCGUUGUCCGGAAUUAUUGGGCGUAAAGGGCUUGUAGGUGGCUGGUUGCGUCUGUCGUGAAAGCUCAUGGCUUAACUGUGGGUUUGCGGUGGGUACGGGCUGGCUUGAGUGCAGUAGGGGAGGCUGGAAUUCCUGGUGUAGCGGUGGAAUGCGCAGAUAUCAGGAGGAAUACCGGUGGAGAAGGCGGGUCUCUGGGCUGUUACUGACGCUGAGGAGCGAAAGCGUGGGGAGCGAACAGG